UGUAGCCCCCUCCCCUGCUACCAAAAAAACCCCAUGACUUACAUAAACCCAGGACAGUUACCAAAUGUUAGUAGAUUCCAGAACAACGUACAGAGGGGUUGGCAUGGUUUUACCCAGUGUAUAAUUUAACCUUGAAGUUUGUGAAUUUUUGCCACGUGCAACUUUGUGAUUGAAGAUCAGAAGGCAAUUGGAGAAAUUUUAUGUAUCAUAGAUGGCUUUUUCUUCCAUAGGAAAAAUAUACCACAUAGUUACUGAAGUUGAGCACUAACUUUUUGUGGGAACAGGAGCAACAAACUGUCACCAUCAUGUCACUUAACUGUUGGCAAUUGUCAGAGGAGGGGUGCUGAUUCAGGUGGAUCUGUGCUCUAGUCCAGGGUGGCUGUUUUUAUGUUGUUCCUCCUUGUGAAGUUGGAAUCAGUCAUAGGCUGUCUUGUAAGCUGGCUGGCAGUGAGACACUCCUCAGCUCUGUAGCGUUAACUGUUGGUCCCCUCCAUUUCAAGAAACCAAGCAAUAUCCUGCAAACGUUUCUUUUAAUCAACUUAGACUUUGCAUUAUUUCAUAUGCUCCUGGAAAAAUUAUUUGACUUUUCUGUCCCUUCCUCCCCUAUCCCCUGAAGAUGCUGAGGUUGAGAGAUAAGGGGAAAUAAAUAGUUAGCACCGUGUAUCAAUGGUGAGGGGGGUGUAUCUUGUUCCGUGAUAGUUAGGUAAGCAGAAGCAAGGACUCCUCUGUUUGUUAAAACCUCAGUUCUCUGCCUCUGGCUUCUGGGAUGUUUGAGGCAGGUUUUGAGGCAGGUACGGCCCUGAAAAGUUGCUGCUUGCAAGUAACCAUUUUGCAGAGCUAGAAAAUGGAGGAGGAAAGGGGGUCUGUCUUCAAGUUUGGAAAGCACAACCUGCAGGUCCCCCACUCCUGUACAGACAGUAUCACAGCCUGGCUGAGGAUUAAGGCUGAUUUCUGUGGUGGUCUCUCAGGGUGAGGAGCCGCUGUGAUUUUUUUAAGGAUGAUGGUUAGGACUCCAGCAAGGCUUAGGAGGUUAUAAGAGGUGUAUAGUAUUAUGAAUCCACAGCCUGGGAAGACAAAUGGACAUUUAAAGAUGUCUGAGGACUGGGAUAAAAACUGAAGCAACUUCUUACUCAGCCACUGCAGGGAAAUAGACUGUGCCUGUUCUUGUCAGAGGCGGGCGCGGUGCCUGGUGAGCCGGCCGAAGCAGGGCCCUGUGCUGCCUCUGGCUCCCAGCGCUGCCCACGGCUGCCUGCCUGCUUCACCAGUGUGUUCUCCUGGGUUUUGCAAACCAACUGCUGACACUCUCACCUACUUACUCUCUGCUGGGAGAAGUUCUGUUGCUUGUACAUAAGCAGCUUUUCUGGUGUGUAGUGUGUUUAUUUUUGGUUAAGACAUGCUGCUGCAGUGAUGGUUAGCACUGUAAUGUGGGUGUUCCAGACAGAGAGGGGAGUUUUCCUGCUGCUUUCGAUACAACGGACAUUGCAAACUUACUGGAAAGUUUUUCUCAUUACAUAUGUGAAGGUAUUCCAGACGAUUCAGUAGUCUCAGCGUGGAUCAGCUCAGAUCCCCACAGUUAAGCAUGAUAUCGGGGGACACUGUCUUCGUACCUAGAUCGCUGGAAGAACCCACACUGGGGCAGAGAAGAAAAAAGAACAGUUUAGGUUUAAGUUGCUCCCAAAGUACUACAAGAGAAGCAGUAAACUAUUCCUUUGCACAGAUAUACAGGCAGACGACCAGAAGAGGGAAAUAGACCUACACGUUCAGAGUGGCUCCUGCAGCAUGUCCUCAUGCCUGCUCAGUCCUGCAUGCAUGCAAAACCGGUACUGAAGUUUCAGAUUGCUGUGACAUUCGUUGUCUUCUCCACAUCCUUCUUUUAAGAACUCCACCUAAAUAAAAUCAAAGCACUUUUACAGCUUACCACGUGAUGCUAGUUUAAAACAAGACUUCUGAUGUGCACUGCAUAAAGCACCUACAGGGAACUCAGAAACACUCUCCUGGACAGAGUAAGAUUUUAACCUGACUCUUAUUGCCUGUCUAGAGAGUUUUUCUUUGUGAGACACAGCCCUUGAUGCUGAUAAUUCAGAACUUUAAAUGUGACUAGAGGGCAGAGUUAGAUAAUUCUAAGUAAGAAGUACACUUCUAAUCAGGAAAAACAUCCUUAAAUCUGAUUCUUCAGCGAGUAUUGAGGAAAAGGCAUCUGUCCCCCAACAUAUUCCCUCUCUUUUACAUCACUGUGGCAGAGCUCUGAUGCUGUUACAGCAUCCUAACCAUGGAAGAAUUAGACUGUACGUCAUUUUGUUACAUGGGACAAGUAUUCACAGCAGGAGAUGAUGGAUUUCCAUUUUCAAUCAAAAGUACAUUUCCUCCUAAGCCUGUUGGGGAGAGAAAAAAACCAACCUAGCAGCUAUACCAUCGUCACUUUUGUUGCAAAAGAAACACAGCAUCUAGCUCAUAACGUUCUGUAACAAGUUCAUAACAAAAUACAAAAUAUAAACCAGUUGUUACAAGA